GCUGCACACACACCCACGCCCAACCCACGCACACACACCCAUACCCAUGUUGGAUCCCAUCUCUCUCAUCCUCCUCGAUCCCCUUUCUCCACCCCACGCCGCCACCAGAUUCCGGCGAUCCCCGCCGUUCCCCACCGCCCAGCUCUCCUCCCCGAGGUCACCUCUCCCCGCUCACCAUCUCCACCGACCGAUUUCUCUCCUCGCCCAGGAGAGCCACGCCCAGGCACUGGUGGUGGUGCACCGUGAGGAGGCCCCAGCGGCGUCGAGAUGCUGCUGCUACGGGCACAGCGACGUGAUGGGGAGGAGCUACGUCGGGAUGCUGCUCCUGCGCCGAGCUACUGCUGCUGCAGGCACGACAACGAGCCGGGGAGCUGCUGUUGCUGCGGGCGCGGCGUCUCUCCUUUCCCCAAAUCCCCAUCUGACGCAUCCCUCUCCAGCCUCAAGCCGCUGCCCUGAGCUCCCCUACAGGCCGGCGACACCACUCUGAUUAGGAGUCACGCAUGUGGCACGCAUAGUAUUCCGGUCACCAACUGCCCUCCAGGUAUUCUCUUCAUUUGGUUAAAUUCACUGGCGGAGGAGCCCAGUGGGCAAGGUGUGGCAGCCACCACACCUUGAUUUCCACCAAUUUUUUUAUAUAUAAGCAUAUACUUUUCUUGAUGGAAAUACUGCUUGUUAGUUUUAGACCACGCUAGAUCGAUUCACCCAAACAAAGCUAGAUGAAGCACGUAAGUUAGAUUGGAAGCACACAAGCAGGCAGCUUGAUUGAUGUGUUGUCCAGCACAUGCCCAUCUCACUACGUAGACGUACGCGAACCAGCUCGCUUCCGCUGUACAACGAUCGGAUCGAUUCUCUCCGCGGCUCGCUCCUGAUGGAACUCGUGACUAGGCGAUCCAAAAACAGAACGGAUAAAUUUGCAACAUGUAUUUUUUUUUCUUAUGACAUAUAUAAGAGUACAUGAUUGACUUCCGCCAGCCCGCCCGCGGGCAAUUUUUGCCCUGAAACACGCCGCCGUCGCCCGUCGGCCCAUCCCCGAUCCCGCCGCCGGCAGCACAAUCGUAUUCUCUGCCGACCUGCCGAUUUGAGUCUGCUAUGCUGAUGAUGGCCCGCCUCCGCCGCCGGCGAUUUGUGCCCAACAACGCCGCUACCCCUGCCCGUCCAUCCAUCCCUAACACCGUCUCGACCCGCGGCCUAUCGAAUUGGCUAUUAUGUUUUUGCAUCAAUUUUUUAUUGAGGGGGCAUCAAUUUUGUCUAGUUGACAGUUUGCCACACCUUAAUUUUUUUUCCGUCCUCCACCCCUGGUUAAAUUAAUGUGUCUUUCCUCAGCUUAGAUUAACAGUUCAUUGUUUCUUUCUCUGAAUAUGUGUACAUUCAGAAGCAACUAUGAACAACAGUUUCGUUCUUUGAAUUAUGCGUAUUUUUAGGAUCAGAUGCUUAAAUAUCAGAUGAUGAUUCUACAUAGAUACACUGGCUUUUGUAUGACCUGAAUAGAAGCAAAUGAAUAUCAUCAAUUCUGAUGUUAAGGAAAGUAAAACAGAGACGCCAGUUAUUAACAUGGGCAGAAAGAGUAGUUCUUGGCAUCUUCCUCUCCCUCCUCACUUGUUACGAUUGAGUAGGUGUUGUCAAAGGCCAAUUAUAUCUGUGAUGCUAUGUCGACUUAGAUCUGGAUGUUGGUAGUUACCUAUAUGUAGGAGGAAACAAGAAAGACCACGCUACAACACUAAGUGGUGUAAUUUCUGGUAGUUACCUAGCUUUAGCAUGCAACUUCGAUCCCUACCUAUUAACUUUACAGUGUAUAUGCACUGAAAUUUAACUGCAUCUUAUGUUCUUUUUUUUGUUGCUCUUGGCCAUCCAAUAUGUUAUCAUUGUUUUUUCUAUUUAUUAACCCAUAAGGUAUCCCGGCCAUUAUUUGUCAGCAAUUUUAGUUUAGAGCAACCUGCAGUUUAUUUUCUAUGGUUUCUACUGUUAUACAUUAAUUGCAAGCCUUUUCUGCUUACAAACUUGUCAGUGACUUGACUUUUCACUAUGUAGAUUACUGUUACAUGAAAGAAAAUGUUUUGCUGGAUGGUUGGUUUAUAUCAUCAUCUUACAGCAGAACAUUCGGCUAUUUGACCAUGCAUACUUGACCGUGCUUUUGCAAAGUCUAUAGGUGUGAGCUAUUUUGCUCGUGGACAAUCUCAUGUGUUGGAUCUGCAUUGGAUGGCAGAUAAGCGGAGUGGGAGCUUGCAAUAGCAGCUUUGACCCCUUCCCAAUGAGCUGCAGGUCGUAGACGAGGUCCUGGCCGAGAAAAAACCUUGCUGGGUCCGAAGUUGUCCAGAUGCAUGGUGAAUGAUGGCUGAGAUAUGGUGCGAAAUGGAAUAGAAAGAAAAUUCUUGUGCCUGGAGGGAGCGGAACUGAAUGUGAUCGGGGGGUCACAGUCAAGAGAGUGCUUCCUUGGCGUGCUACCAAAGGGAAAUGCCACUAUCAUGGAAGUAAAAGAGAUGGCCAUUUAAUUAGGCUAGGCUCACAAGUAGCUGGAUUUUUUGUGUGUGAAGAUGCAUCAGUGAUUUUUUAGCAGUUUAUAAUGGUACUAGCCCCCUGUGCUUGUGGGUGCAGUGCCCUAAUUGCAAAAAAAUACCAGGUGCAAGUGUGGUGCUGGUUCUCUCCUUUGGCUUUUUGGUAUUGGUUCUCUCCUUUGGCUCCUUGUAAUAUGUGUUGGAUAUGUGUUCAUGGAUAUGUGUUUGAUAUAUAUGUGUUCAUGACUAUUGGUAACAUGUGUUGGAUAUGUGUUCAUGGCUA